CCAAAUUCAUAAUUCUUUCUUCUCCGAUUUUCCUACCAUCCUCUGCCCCAAACCAUCUUCUCCACCUCCUACCUCCAUGAUAGAAAAAAGACAUAUCAAGGACAUAACUUUGAUCACCACCACAAUCAAUGUCAACCAUUAAACAAAGUUACAAAUCCAAAAUAAAAUAUCUCUACCGUUACACCACCACACAACCAUUGUCACUUCAUUCAAUCUCCCUUAUUGACCCCAAAUCUAAGAAUAUAUCUAAAACCUUCCAAUUUUGCCACAAUUAGAUCUGACAAUUGGUUCAGUGAUAAUAUAUCAAUCAAGUGGGUUGGUGCGAUUUUUUAUUUGGUUUUGAGAAGAAAAAAUGGAGUGAUCCAAAGCCGAGGCGUAACGGUUGAGGCUUCAAAGAGCAACAAACUGUGAGGCCAUUGCAGAAAGAAAAGGCAGCAAAGAGAUUAAGACUGUAGUGAAAGCAAAGCAAAACAAAGAUGAUUUUAAUGUAGCAAAGCAGUAGAAAGGAGAUGCGACGUAUGGGAUGGAGAAAGGAGAGUCUUUUUCUUCUUCUUGUUUUAAUUAAAGA
rnacentral:lncRNA from 1 species